ACACCUUGAACUCUUUAUCAUGUUCCUCAAACCGUUCCUGAACCAUUAUUGCUCUGUGUCAGGGAGCGUUAUCCUGCUGAAAGAGGCCACUGAUAUUGGGGAAUACUGUUGCUAUGAAGCGGUGUACUUGGACUGUAACAAUGUUUAAGGUAGGUGGUACGAGUCAAAGUAACAUCCACAUGAACACCAGCACCCAAGGUUUCCCAGCAGAACAUUCCCCAGAGCAUCACACCGCCUCCACCAGCUCGCUUUCUUCCCAUAGUGCAUCCUGGUGCCAUCUCUUCCCCAGGUAAGCGAUGCACACGCACCCGGCCGUCUACACGAUGAAAAAGAAAACAUGAUUCAUCAGACCAGUCCACCUUCUUGUGCUGAAAAGGAAUGUGGGUGUAAUCUGUAUGAUUCUGAGGUGUGGUUUAGUUGAAACUGAGCAAUUUUGACUUAUUAGGAUUGCUCGGUAUGUCGGAUGGGAGAGGCGAGCAUAUUGAAGCGUUUUUUUUUCCAUUCGACGUUACAAUGGUCAUCACAAUGACUUGCAUAAACAAACCAGGGAGGGAUUUCUGUACACUUUGUACAGUGGCAGGAAAGGUACGGGCUUGGUGUUUAGUUAGAGCUGACAGAUCUGCUCACAGGAAUUUAGACAUUAACCACAGUAACAGCAAUUCUAAGAGAUGUGAAGUGAAAGGACUUCCUUGAAGUUAAUCUUCACUUCUGCUGUUUUUUUCACCAACGAUCUGAGACGUUCAUGCUUUCUCGUAUAUAUAUAUCUCAUGUAUAUCCUGUGACAGUCUGUAAUUAGACUCAUCAGUGUAGUGUGUUCUGUAAACUUUAUUUUUUACCUUUUCAGAUGUACAGAGAGUUGACUAUCAAGUGCUGCAAUUCCUCUUUCUCUGGAAACCAAAACCGCUUAUACCAAGUAGUUUUUUUUUAGUAGCAGAAAUUUAGAGUAUCGUGCUAUUGAAAGCUGAGUCAACAAUAAGGGUUGUGCUUACUAUGCCUGCCUCUGGAGUCAACUGACAGGUAUUUUGGAAGAAAGAAGGUCUAUAGUACGUCCUUGGAACAGAAGCAUUAAUAAAAGUUUUGCCAAACUGACGUGUGUGUGUGUGUGUGUGUGUGUCAUUGGACUGAGGUCAUCCUGACAAGACAAUUCUCUGAAAGUCAUUUAAAUGUAAAAGCCAGAACACCAGUGCAGAUCGUACUGUAUAAACCGCUUUGAGCAUUUCUAAACACUGUAUAGAAACUUUUUCCUCCACAUAUGAC
ensembl:lncRNA